GAAAAAAAAAAAAAUGAUGCUUUGAGCUUUGAAAUUGUAGUUAAAGAGCAAUGGUCAGUAAAAUCUUUUGUAAGUUAACUACUCAUUUUUGUUUAAAAUUAUAUUCUUUUCUUCUUUCUAUAAAUGAUUACUUGUGACUCUACGUGAUGUGAGAAUCAAUUCAGAAGAGUUGAAGAAAUGGAGUUGAUAUUAAGAAGUAACGUCUGGUUGAGAGCCAAGAUUCCCCUUAAUGAGUCUUAUCUCUCUUCUUUAAACAAUUCGAAAUGUUUUUGCCUUUUGUUCAACAAAAUUUGAUCCUCCACUUCUCCUUCAACCAUUUAUCUUUUCUUUUCUUUUCUUUUUGUGGAAGCUUAACUAUUAUAUCCUCUUAAGUAUUUUUGUUUCGUAAUCUUUCCAUUACCUUUUGUUAUCAUUCUCGUCCAUAAAAAUAUACAGAAUAUAUUCCGUCAAACUUGUAAAGCUGAUCACAUACUUUUUAUUUAUUUAUCAAAUAGACUAUAGUUUUAUAGUAGGAUGGCCUCGGUUAGGGCAAACCCAUCAAAAGAUUUAACAAGUAUCUUACCAGUUUGUUAAUAAUAAAACAGAAUAAAUAUAAUGCAAAAAGUUUAAUUUUACUAAGCAUCGAUUCUUAGAUUAGAUGUUUUAGAUUUCUUUAGAAACCUGUGUGUGUCAAUUUGUGACUGGUCGGAGUAAAAAAAGAAAAAGAAAAAGUUUUUUUUUAUUCUCUCGUCUCUCUCGCAUCAUCGCUUCUAAUUUCCUCACCAUUCUCUCUGUUUCUGGGAUAGGUGAUUUCUGCAAUGAGUCGAAUCUUCGAUUUGGAAUAUUGAAAAGAAGAUAGACUUCUGCCUCUUCAGAUUUGAUUCAGACUUAGGACAACGUUGGUGUUGCUUCUGUUGCUUUUGGAACUUCUUACUAUCAUCUUCACCCUAACGAUGCAACUCUCCUCUGGGAUCGUCUUCCUGUUGAUAUGAUUUCGAUUUCACAUAUAAGAUGUUACUCGUGGACUGGACCAGGGUCUAGGGGGAAGAAUCUGAU